GCACCUGUUGGAUAAAGGGAAAAUAUAUCCCACUGUGUUUGGGAAGGGGAAUAACUCCCCCAGUCCAGCUCUGGUCUGGUGCA